CCCUUAGAUGUUCUGGGCCGCACACGCGCUACACUGAAGGAGGCAGCGUGUACUCCUGGAUCGAAAGAUUUGGGUAACCCGCGAAUCUCCUUCGUGCUAGGGAUUGAGGUUUGCAAUUAUCUUUCAUGAACGAGGAAUUCCCAGUAAGUGCAAGUCAUAAGCUUGCGCUGACUACGUCCCUGCCCUUUGUACACACCGCCCGUCGCUACUACCGAUUGAAUGAUUUAGUGAGGACUUCGGACUGGGACCGAUGCGGCUUUCGGGCUGCGUCGGUAUUCUGGAAAGAUGUCCAAACUGUAUCAUUUAGAGGAAGUAAAAGUCGUAACA
rnacentral:rRNA from 1 species